AUUGACUUGGCCAGACUCAGAGGGUUUCUGUGGCAAGCUAAUGACAUGAUGGUGUGGAAUGCUCUGGAAAUUGUAAGGUAAUACCCAAAUAAAAGGGAUUACUUUGCAGUCAGCAAUAAUUUUCAAAAUUAACAUGGAACAGCACAUUUCUGAAGCCCAUAUUCUAUUUGUGCUUUCCCAGGGGUCCUAAACCUUGAGUCAAUAGGACCUAUGACUGUGCCCCUGUAUGGGCUACAAUGCCUCAGAGGUCAGAAUACAGGGUGGGAAGUUGUGGAAAUGGCCUUUUCCUUCUAAAAAUUAUUCAGGUCUUCAGUUUCUCCCUAGCAAUGGGGUUCAUCUUUUUAUAGAACAGCAUCUGAUUUGUCAGCAACCUCUAGGUAGUUUAUUGAUUUAACAUUUCUUCAGAGAUGCUAAGAAAUAUGUGGUCUGCUGACAGCAACAGGGAGCUGUGCCUUAAAAGGGGAAUCUGAUGGCUUGCUCCCAGCUGUCCUGGCUCAGAGCCUCUGCAAUCACUGAUUUUCAGAAAAUUGUUUUAAAUAGAGUUUAUGUUCCAUUUUGAGCAGCCUCUUUUUGCUUCCUCAUUUCCCGACAAUCAAUGGGGAUGGCGGUGUCUUUGCGUGGCAUCUCACACACUGUUGCUGAAUGGAAUCAUUUCACGGUGAAAUAACCUAAAUGGAAGAGAAAUCUGCUUUGGUCAAAUGCUGAGGUUCACUGUGUCAAAACAAUCAGGUUCCAGAAAUGAUUUGCAAAAAUCCAUUGCUUUAUUGUUUUGGAACACAGAGACAAUGGAAUCUGUGGAGCAAGUCGUUGAAGGAGCAUCUAAGAGAAUUCCAUGAAGAGAAGAGUGAAGGAAAGGAUGUGUCCCCUGGUAUAACGGCUCUAAAGGAGACUCUCAACAUCUACAAUGGUGGUGUUUUAUAGACACAGAAACCCAAGGAACCUGUGGUAAGUGACCUGGGGAGCAGGAAAAGCAAACAGGUUUGUGGAGACCCAAGGAGAAGGAACAGGAAAUAAAGAUUUUUAUGAAAGUAUGUCA
rnacentral:lncRNA from 12 species